UAUUCUUAUUGCAAAUGUUGCACUUCACCAUGACCCUCAACAAUGGGGAGAUGAUGUGCAUCUUUUUAAGCCAGAGAGAUUCGCCGAAGGGGUUGCCAAAGCUACCAAUUACAACACAGCUGCAUUUUGUCCCUUUGGAUUGGGACCUCGAACUUGUGUUGGUACAACCUUCGCACUCAUGGAAGCGAAGAUUGCAGUCUCCAUGAUUCUACAACGCUACACCAUUUCCCUCUCCCCUGCCUAUGUCCACGCGCCAGUAUCUAUUAUCACCGUUAAACCACAACAUGGAAUUCAAGUAAUACUCGAGUCACUGCAUCACGAUGCUUAAACUACACGGCAGCUAAGGGCUCAGCGUUCAACUCAGUUAGCUCAUGUAUUCUCAUUUUAAGAGAUGACAUUUCAUAGAUCGGGGGCGUUUGCAUUAGCAGCCACUUCCCUAUUUAUGCGCUCCUUCGUGCAUAAAUAACUGCAAAUAUCUGCUCAUUUCCAAGAUGGUAAAGCAUGCACAAUUUAUCAUUUUAAUAAUUUAUAUUUUUAAUUUUUAAAUAAUUAAAUUAAAAUUUUAUUAUUUUUUAAUGUUCAAGUUCGAACCUAAUUUAUAUUUUAAAUGAGACUAAUUUUUUUACCUAAACUCAUUUUUCGAGCUUAAUAUUUUUACUCAAAAUAUAAAUAGAUGAUAAUCAUUUAAUUUAUGAGUAAAUAUAUAUAUUAAAAAUGUAUUAAUAAUAGAAGUAAUUAAUAAAAAUCUACUUAAUCUUUCAAAAAGCCUCUCAAAAUCAACUAUUUGACCAAUAUACUUCUUUAAUUUAAUCAUUUUUUUUAUACUUUUUGUGUUUUAAAAUAGUAAAUUUAUUAACAAAAAUAACAUUGUUUCUUUUAAUGUUAUAUAAAAAUAACAAGUUAAUGUUAUAUUUCGCACGAAAAUUUGGAAAUUUUAUUUUUAACUUAAUUUGUGAUUAUUGUUUUUGCAGCAAUUGUUGACUAAUUUGCAUUUGUGAUGACGCAUGGUAGAUGGCUCCCAAUAAAAUAUUCAUAAAUAUAAAAAAAUCGAGUUUUAUUAAGAUAAUUUUAAUUGAUAAAUUAUGUGUAAAAUAUUAUUUUUAGCCGAAGUGGGUGGUAUGCCAACUCAUUUUAGGGACCACAUGUUAAAAAUUCAUAAUUUUUAAAUAAACUGAUUUUGGAGUUGUGGAGAUGUGCGCUUUCGCCACAUGACCCCACCAUCCCAAAAAUCUAUUAUUUUUAAAUUUUUUAAUGUUCAUAAAAUCAAGAUGAUGAUUGGAUUAUCAAAACAUAUAUAUAUACAAUUUAAUUGCAAGAGCACAGAGUGUUAUUGGACAACACUUAGAAGAGGUGAGAUUCUUGCACGUGUCCUGUAUACUCGGUGGGACUAAAUUGGAGCCCACGCUUAUUAGUGCUUUGCUAGAAAGAUAGAGACCCGAGACACACACAUUUCAUUUUCUGUGCGAUGGUGAUAUGAUUACACUCGAGGAUGUGAUAUUAGAACUUGGUCUAUUGGUUGAUGGGCCAAUAAUUUAGAGAAAAUACCAAACAUAUUUAGUAAUUUAGGGAAAUUUUAAUAGCUUCACAUUCUUCAGCCUAUAAAUAGUGGAUUCAUGUCAUGGGUUGCAGGUCAAAGCUCAUGAUGAAUGCACACAAAGCGUUUCAUGGAGGUCACCAAUUUUGGUUGACACUAGAAAUGAAAAGAAAAUGUAUAUUUUUAUAAAAGAAUACUAGGUGGCAUUUUUUGAUUGGCCACCAAUUUUUUUUAAUGUUAAAAAUUAGAUUAAAAUUUAUAACGGAUAAUACUUUAAGUACUAAAUUAAGUUAAAAAAACUUUAAGUACCAAUAUUACUGGUGAAUUAGACAAAAAUUAGUGAUGAGAAUGGAGGUUUAGAGAGAAAUAAUGCUUCAUUAUUUUAUUCAUUCCCAAUAAGCAUGGAUAUGUAAUCAGUACAUAAGUUAAAGAAACCGCAAAUGCCAAAAUCACUCAACACGUAUAGCCUCCUAGUUCAGCUGAUGCCGACGCUUUUAAGGUCAACAAGGAAAACAAUUUGGCAAGUACGGUACAUUUCAGCAGGAAAGUUGCACACGUUUCUUAUACACACUUAUGAACUAUUGUAUGGCGUAAUAGACUGUGAUGUUUUGGCUUUAUAACAUUAAAAUGUCUCACGAAUACGUCCAACCUACUUUGAACGAGAACGAGGAUUGCAAAUGCAAUUUUGCUCCUUCACCACUUUUGGAGUGCUCCUAAUGAUGCUAUUAUGAAUGGGAAAAUGGUUAAAGUUUAGAGACGAAAAAUGAGUGCCUUGAUGGAGCUUGUAACUCUUGUCCCAUGUUGUUUCUUCUUCAUAGCUUUAAUAAAGUUCCUUUAUGAUUACCUAUGGAUACCUCUCCGUAUACAGCAUAUGCUGAAUUCACAGGGGAUCAAAGGACCUCCUUACAGAUUCAUCCAUGGCAACAACAAGGAAAUCGCCAAAAUGAGACAAGAAGCAUCAAUCAAACCUAUGGCCUUGACGCAUGAUAUAUUUCCCAAAGUGCAGCCACAGAUUUACUCCUGGAUCAACAAAUACGGUAAUAUCCAUGCAUGUUUUUCACUAUGGUUUCAAUCUUCUAGUUCAAUUAAAAGAUGGACCCUUUUUUUGCUUUUUGUUUGAUUAGGGAGGAAUUAUCUUUUUUGGAACGGUGUUCGAGCUGAACUUGUGAUUUCAGAACCUGAACUAGUCAGAGAGAUACUAAAAAAUAGUGAAAAAACUUUCCCGAAAAGGAAGCCUACCAUUUACCUUAGCAAGCUACUAGGGAAGGGGCUUGUGACGGUUGAGGGUGAAAAAUGGGCGAAGCAGAGGAAGCUGGCGAAUUACGCUUUUCAUGGGGAAAGCUUAAAGGUGAACCCCUCGAAACAUGUGAUUAGUUGUAAACUAAUGUUAAAGAAUUUUAUAUUGUUGGAGAAUUGCUUUUGCAGAACAUGACACCAGCUGUAAUUGCUAGCGUUGAAACAAUGCUAGAGAAAUGGAAAGGCCAAGAAGGCAAAGAGAUUGAAGUGUUCCAUGAAUUUAGAUUAUUGACUUCAGAAGUGAUAUCAAGAACAGCUUUUGGUAGCAGUUACUUGGAAGGAGAGAAGGUUUUUGCCAUGUUGAACAAGCUGUCAAUAAUUAUGAGUCGAAAUCUUUAUAAUACUAGAAUUCCUUUGAUCAAGUAUGUUCCCUCUAAGCUUAAUUAAUCCCAAGUUUUUCCUUACUUGUGUUUUCCACCCCCAUGAAUUUAUUUUUCUCCUUAUAUAUGGCUAACAUUAGUUUUCUCUUCUAGCAAGUUAUGGAAACCUGCCGAUAUGCUAGAGUCUGAAGAACUUGCAAAAGAAAUACAAUAUUGUGUGAUGAAGAUGGUUAAGAAAAGAGAAGACAAAGUUGUGAAUGGAGAAGCUGAUAGCUUUGGGAAUGAUUUUCUAGGAUUACUUGUAAAUGCCUAUCAUGAUUCGGACAAAAAUAACAAGCUUUCAAUGGAAGAUCUGGUGGAUGAAUGCAAAACAUUCUAUUUUGCAGGACAAGAUACUGUUAAUGCCUUGCUUGCCUGGACAGUCUUGCUUUUAGCAAUCCAUGGAGAUUGGCAAGAUAAAGCAAGAAGGGAGGUGAUUGGCAUAUUUGGUAACCAAAAUCCACAACCGGAAGGCAUUGCAAAACUCAAAACUGUAAGCAAACUUUCUAACCAUUUAAGACCGCACGCAUUGUGUUACAGUCAAUAUCUUGUAGUUUCGACUCUUUCUACAUUGAUAUUCAUUGCUAAUAUUUACCACAAUUAAUUGCGAUAACAUCCAUCAUAUACAACACUGCCAUAAUUUAAAUCCCCGGUGUAUGCUAGCAUGAGUUUAGAACAUUAGAUUAUGUGAUGUUAAUCUUAUAUAUUCCUAUUCUCUAUACAGAUGACGAUGAUCAUUAAUGAAACUCUAAGAUUGUAUGGUCCAUCAAAUGGAAUGUUGAGAAGAGUUGGAAGAGAAGUUCAAAUGGAAAAGGUAGUCCUCCCUGCUAAUAUAGAUAUUCUAAUUGCAAAUGUUGCACUUCACCAUGACCCUCAACUGUGGGGAGAAGAUGUGCAUCUUUUUAAACCAGACAGAUUUGCGGAAGGGAUUGCCAAAGCUACCAAUUACAAUACGGCUGCAUUUUUUCCCUUUGGAUUGGGACCUCGAACUUGUGUUGGUAUGACCUUUGCAACCACAGAAACCAAGAUUGUUCUCUCCAUGAUCCUACAACGCUAUGCUAUUACCCUUUCCCCUGCCUAUGUCCAUUCACCAAUACCUAUAAUCAGCCUUAAACCACAACAUGGAAUU
rnacentral:lncRNA from 1 species